UGGGGAAUUUUGGACAAUGGGCGAAAGCCUGAUCCAGCAAUGCCGCGUGUGUGAAGAAGGCCUUCGGGUUGUAAAGCACUUUUGUCCGGAAAGAAAUCCUUGGCUCUAAUACAGUCGGGGGAUGACGGUACCGGAAGAAUAAGCACCGGCUAACUACGUGCCAGCAGCCGCGGUAAUACGUAGGGUGCAAGCGUUAAUCGGAAUUACUGGGCGUAAAGCGUGCGCAGGCGGUUUGCUAAGACCGAUGUGAAAUCCCCGGGCUCAACCUGGGAACUGCAUUGGUGACUGGCAGGCUAGAGUAUGGCAGAGGGGGGUAGAAUUCCACGUGUAGCAGUGAAAUGCGUAGAGAUGUGGAGGAAUACCGAUGGCGAAGGCAGCCCCUGGGCAAUACUGACGCCCAUGCACGAAAGCGUGGGGAGCAAACAGGAUUAGAUACCCUGGUAGUCCACGCCCUAAACGAUGUCAACUAGUUGUUGGGGAUUCAUUUCCUUAGUAACGUAGCUAACGCGUGAAGUUGACCGCCUGGGGAGUACGGUCGCAAGAUUAAAACUUAAAGGAAUUGACGGGGUCAUAGCUGUUUCCU
rnacentral:rRNA from 1 species